rnacentral:rRNA from 1 species
CCCAACUACGGAUCGUGCCCUCUUUGUAAGCAUGCACAGGAGUCCGCUGCUCACCUACUCUUCCAAUGCCGCUUCACAUUGCGCAUUUGGAACGACAUCCUACCGUGGCUUGGAAUGCACCACAUCUCUACUACUUCAUGGUCGGCGAGCGCUUCGGUCAAAGGAUGGUGGAACGGUAACCUUCAGAUUCGUCUCGGCUCCCCCAAAGCCCUUGCCUUAUUGAUGAUGCUCAUCUCAUGGGAGAUUUGGCCCGAGAGAAACGCUAGAGUCUUCCGCAACGUGGCGGUCCCUUCGGUGGUCAUCAUUAACAAGAUCAAGCACGAGGCGUCGCUCUGGGUUUUGGCAGGUGCCAAGCACUUGGGUAUUGUAAUGCCGCGAGAGUAG